UACAGAGGUCCCAAGCGUUGUUCGGAUUCACUGGGCGUAAAGGGCUCGUAGGCGGCCAACUAAGUCAGACGUGAAAUCCCUCGGCUUAACCGGGGAACUGCGUCUGAUACUGGAUGGCUUGAGUUUGGGAGAGGGAUGCGGAAUUCCAGGUGUAGCGGUGAAAUGCGUAGAUAUCUGGAGGAACACCGGUGGCGAAGGCGGCAUCCUGGACCAACACUGACGCUGAGUGAGCGAAAGCCAGGGGAGCAAACGGG
rnacentral:rRNA from 1 species